GGCCUAAUGGCCCAAUGGCAAGGCGCUUGACUACGAUUCCCUCAAUCCGAAAUCAAGAGAUUCCAGGUUCGACCCCUGGUUAGGUCA